rnacentral:misc_RNA from 1 species
GAUGAAGAACGUAGCGAAAUGCGAUAAGUAGUGUGAAUUGCAGAAUUCCGUGAAUCAUCGAAUCUUUGAACGCACAUUGCGCCUUCUGGUAUUCCGGAAGGCAUGCCUGUUCGAGAGUCAUUAACAACCGUUUCGAUCCCUUUCUUUCAGAAAUUACAAAGAGGAAAAGGGUUUGGUUAUGGUGGAGGAGGGAAAGGGAGCGUUUAGCCUGUAAAAAAAGAGGCUGUGUUCCGCCUCCCCCCCAAAAUUGUACAGGCGGUCGUGUGCGCCCACGCAUCGAGGUGUUGUAAAAGCUGCCACGGCACUUUUCACCUGUGCAGUGCGAGAUUGGCCAGCCGGUUUAAAAACCCCUCCAAACAAUCAAAGGUUGACCUCGGAUCAGGUAGGGAUACCCGCUGAACUUAAGCAUAUCAAUAAGCGGAGGA